UACGUAGGGUGCAAGCGUUGUCCGGAAUUAUUGGGCGUAAAGGGCUCGUAGGCGGUCUGUCACGUCGGGAGUGAAAACUCAGGGCUUAACCCUGAGCCUGCUUCCGAUACGGGCAGACUAGAGGUAUGCAGGGGAGAACGGAAUUCCUGGUGUAGCGGUGAAAUGCGCAGAUAUCAGGAGGAACACCGGUGGCGAAGGCGGUUCUCUGGGCGUUACCUGACGCUGAGGAGCGAAAGUGUGGGGAGCGAACAGG
rnacentral:rRNA from 1 species